CCCUUAGAUGUUCUGGGCCGCACGCGCGCUACACUGAUACGUUCAACGAGCUCCUUGACCGAGAGGCCCGGGUAAUCUUUGAAACCGUAUCGUGAUGGGGAUAGAACAUUGCAAUUAUUGUUCUUCAACGAGGAAUGCCUAGUAAGCGCGAGUCAUUAUCUCGCGUUGAUUACGUCCCUGCCCUUUGUACACACCGCCCGUCGCUCCUACCGAUUGAACGUGCUGGUGAAGCGUUAGGACUGGAGGUCUUGGGCCGGUUCGCCUGCCCAUAGCUUCGGGAAUUUCGUUGAACCCUCCCGUUUAGAGGAAGGAGAAGUCGUAACA
rnacentral:rRNA from 1 species